GGAGAAACAGGCAGAUCCACAGACAAGAAAGGAGAAAGACGCUUUGAGGAAUCACUGUCAACAUGCCUGAGCCACCAGCAGCCAAGGGCGAUGAGACUGCAGCAGCCUCUGCUGCCACGAAGGGUAAGAAAAACACUGUCCAUCCAGUGUGUGUCUGUCUGUGUCCCAUAGAUGUAACUGUCAUUCAUUUUCAUCCCCAUUCUUCAUCAUCCUCAUCCUCAUCCUCAUCCUCAUGAUCAUGUGUGUGUUUCCCCUCAUUCAGAGAACCUCGUGGAGGAGGAGGGUAAGAGUUGCAGAUGAAACAAACACAGAACUCAGUAACUUCUGUGGUGAUGGGACUGAGUGUGGAGAUAUGCAUGACACUCACACACACACACACACACACACACACACACACACACACACACACACACACACACUAAAGUAAUCAGUGCUCAGUGUUUCGACGAUAUUCUUUCAUUAGCGCUGAGGACAGGAGUUUAUUUAGAGCACCAGAGAUGCUAAUUUAAUUUGGUGUUUGAGCGAAAUAGAACGUGUUUAAUUUAUGGAUAAGCAUCACAUAUAUGUAUAUAUAUAUACUGCAUUGGUGAGUGUGUGUGUGUGUGUAUUUUAAUUUCCUAUUUUAGCUUGGGUAUACGUAAAUCUUUACAUACAUGCAAAGUCAUCUUUCACAUUUGUCCUCCAGCUAUUGUAAAAGUGUCUUUUUAGCAUUGUUAGCGUUCCUCAUUGAAGCCUUAUGGGAUUUGGUAAUUCUUGGUUUCAACAAAGUGCAAUUUAAAAUAAAAAGAGGUCAUUAUAUGAGACAUCGCGUUAUGCACAUGGAAAAACACACUGUUGAACUAAAGUGUAUUUAUCACAUAUUCAGUUUGCUUUAAGAUGAAAAUGGAAGUUUGCAUCAAGCUGAUGCACGAAGCCCAAACCCUCGGGAUGAAACUGCAUUUUAUUAUAAAUGGCAACCUCAGCAAUAAUUUGCUUUAUCUGAAAGUCAACCAAUUCAACUAAAAUAAAAGAGCUUCGUCUCACUACUUUAUCAUAUUUCCCUAGAAAUUACAGUAUCAAGAAAUUACCGCCCACAACCAUUUAUUUUGAAAUGAAACGUGGGACCACACAGCAUUUUAAAUGAUCCUGCCAUGAAUGGAAAUACUGUCUGGUUGCGUGUGACAUCUGCCACGUAGAGUUGUUUGUUGAGUGUUCCUCCCCACGGUCACAACACGAUUAGUUAGUCACUCAACCUGCCAAGGGGUCGCACCCGAUUCACAUGUUUGAGGAAGAAUCCUGAGAGACAUUCAGAAUGGCAAACUGCUCCUCUCAUUUCACUUCCCUGUUCCCCGGAAAAUCCUGACCUUUUCAAGAGAAAUCCAUAUCGGGUAAUGUGUGAACUGAUUGUGUGUGGGUACCCCACCACAGCAGAGCGGCUAUGAGAUGCGAGG